UGCAUCUGAAGUGUUGACAGCCAGGCGAGGCAUAAGCAACUAGACAAGAUGCGUUUCCUUAAUAGUGCAGAAGGAGCUGAGACUCAGGUGAAUGAAAAAGCAUUGUGUAGGAAAAAGAAGAGGAAUGAAAAGGAUUGAAAGAGAAAAUUGGAGAGUCUAUUGACAAUGAGAGCAAUCAACAAACCCUGGUUCACUGGACAUCCCAGUGGUCACUGUAUGGUUCAAGAUUCUGCAGGAGGAGACAAAAGAGAAUUGCUGAGGCUUAGAGGCAGUCUGGCAAUUUUGAUUGGAUAAUAGACAUUAUGGAUGGCCCGUUGUAGAUACUCUGGAUUCUGUGAUGUUCUGCUGAAGAGUAGCUUUUGUUGUAGCUGGCAGCUUCCUGCAACUGGGUUGAAGGCUCCAAGCAGUCCAGGAUCGUUCACAGUCUUGUUGACUGUUAUGCCCUCCAGCCCGACCUGGUGCCUGGCUCAUGAUCAUAUGUGCUCAAUAAAUAUCUGUUGA